UGGGAUGAGGGCUGGCUGUUCUGUAUCCCUGUGCCCCGUUCAGCUCUUUCCAGUGUACACAAAGGAGGUAGCUGGGGAAAGAAGACCCCUGAAGUUCCAGGGCACCCCACCAGGGAAGCAGCCGUCAGGAGGUGAGGGCCUCUGUCCUUCCUCCCACACCAAAGCCAACCUUUUCCUCACUGCCGUUUCUCUCCCCUCCAACCCCAGCCUUGGCUGAGAUGCAACUUUCCAGCAAGGGCUAAGGUUGUCCAGUCCCUUGGGAGAUGGAAUCCUCAUCCGACUGUGCUUCUUCAAUAUGGGUGUCCCGAGAAAACAGCUGCUCACCACUGGCACUGCUAGAUGCUACGGGCAGGCUUCAGGGGUUUCUGCAGCCCCCCUUCUUCAAAUGGGACCUGACUGGGUUGCUUCGGAAAGAGGUUGGAAAGCUGACUCCAGAAGAGGACACAAAGAUGGGUCCCAACCUGCCCUCCAGAGCCUGGAGAGCACACAGGCUUCCCAGAGCUCUCUGACAAAGCAAGUGGACAGGCUGGAACGUGUCAUGGACAGUAACCGUGGGCAGAAAUCUGAGUGUGACCAUUCGUGGCUGCCAGGUGAACAAACAGCUCUGGAAUCAGAGGGUUCAGGGACCAACAAGGUUAAACCGGUUUCUCGACUGAGGAUCUCACCAGAGCUUUAAAUUCAUUUACAACGAAUACUACAACACACAUUACAAUGGAUAUUAGAAAGUUUCAAGAAG
rnacentral:lncRNA from 1 species